rnacentral:lncRNA from 1 species
UUGUGGGACAAGAUACAACCCACAGGGUGUAAACUUUUUAAGAGAGCAGAGGUCUGAAUUUUAAUUUUGUUUCUUGAGAGUUAAGCUCACUUUUGUUGGUUUUUAUUAAGACUUAGUUAUGGAGCUUUCUUUUUUUUUAUGCAUUUUGUACAUGCAAAAGGUUGCCUGUGUCAUUCAGUGACUAAUUACAUGACUGUCAUUGAU